AUCCACCUGACGAGUCCCAAAUAGGACGAAACGCGCAUCCUGGAU
rnacentral:hammerhead_ribozyme from 1 species